rnacentral:rRNA from 1 species
AGUGAACGCUGGCGGUAGGCCUAACACAUGCAAGUCGAACGGCAGCACAGUAAGAGCUUGCUCUUACGGGUGGCGAGUGGCGGACGGGUGAGGAAUACAUCGGAAUCUACUUUUUCGUGGGGGAUAACGUAGGGAAACUUACGCUAAUACCGCAUACGAUCUACGGGUGAAAGCAGGGGAUCUUCGGACCUUGCGCGAUUGAAUGAGCCGAUGUCGGAUUAGCUAGUUGGCGGGGUAAAGGCCCACCAAGGCGACGAUCCGUAGCUGGUCUGAGAGGAUGAUCAGCCACACUGGAACUGAGACACGGUCCAGACUCCUACGGGAGGCAGCAGUGGGGAAUAUUGGACAAUGGGCGCAAGCCUGAUCCAGCCAUACCGCGUGGGUGAAGAAGGCCUUCGGGUUGUAAAGCCCUUUUGUUGGGAAAGAAAAGCAGCAGGUUAAUACCCCGCUGUUCUGACGGUACCCAAAGAAUAAGCAUCGGCUAACUUCGUG